UGAAGAUUUAGAUAGAAAAAGAUAUUAGAGAAACAAAUAUAAAAACAAAUCGUUAUAUGAACCAGGUUUCUUUAACAUAUUGACGAAAAAUUAUUUACCAAAAUUCCCAAGUGUAUAUCGUACACCACUUCUGUAAAACAUUGUUGCAAUCAAAACUUAUAAAUCAACAAAUUACUUUAACUUUCCAAUACAAUUAGCAUAUAAACUCAUUAGUUAGUUGUGUACAACAAGCACCUGAAUUACUCAACUCUCAUUUAAAUGUCUAAUCUGUUACAAUAAUACCUAUGUUUCCGAUUAUUGACAACUCAAUUAAUAUAUGGUUAAAAUGCAAUAACAAUCAAUAAUAUCAAAUAUAUUUGUAUAUAUUUUAGAAAACAACAACUGUGACCACAAACAAAACUGAGGCAGAAUUACUCAAACACCGAACAAAGUCAACAGCUCAACAUCAAAUGUCAAAACCAGACGCAAAAUGUGUAAAAUCACUAAUUAAUAUGUAUAACUGUACAAUAACAUGCAUAUGUCUGUGAAUUUGUUAGUUACGAUUUUGUUUAUUAUAUAAUUUGGUAACGUGAUUUAUUUAGCAGUAAAAUGGACAGAAUUACUUUCCGAGUUCAAUACACUGAAUUUAAAUUGGUUGAUUUGAAUUGAUUGACUUGAAUCAAUGUAGUAAGAAUUUAAUUAAAUUGAAGUAAAAUAAAUAAAAAAAAUUAAUUAAAUUAAAAGUUAGGUUAAAAUAAAGUAAACCAAAGAAAUAGUUCAAUUAAAUAAAUUAAAUUAAGCAAGUAAGGAAGAGCUGAGUUCCGGUGUAACCAAACUUUUUAUACUCUUGCAACUUGCAUGGAUCAAAGCCGGGGAAAAAACUUGAGCUCAACCUAGAAGCACUUAAUUACAGUCAUGCGCGCAAAUAUUAGUUUAUUCACUGAAUCUGGUGUUUACACACGCGGCUAAAGCUAACUUGUUUACAUGUGGAUUAAAUGCAGCUAAUACGCGGCUUAGCAACAUCAGCAGCGACUGUAGAAGAAGAAGAAAAAACGAAGAAGGAUAAAAUAUGUAAAGGGAGCAGCACGCCGAACACAACUCACUUAGAAGUAUCUAACAAAUGCAACUUAAUCCCUGUAAUUGACUACAAAAGGCGAAAGAAGAAAGCGCAACAAGCAUUUUGGUGUUGCUGCCACUUCAGCAACAACCUGUUGUUGCAAAUAAAUAAAUAAAAGAAUAACUAAAGAUAAAAUUUCGAAGCGGGCAAGCGGGCAAAAAGCGCAAACUCACAUCGUUAAACAAUGGAACUUGCUCUAAGUUCGCCCCACUGAAAUACCACAAAUUUGGGGAGAGAUGGGAACGGCGGUGUGGUGUAUGUUUACAAAACGUAUUAGAACGUUAAGCUGAGAUGUCUAAUAAUACAAAAUGGCAUCAUAAAUACCUCAAAAGCCGGGGUUAAGCGCACAAGUAAGCUGUUUAUUUAAGCAUUUGAAGCAUUUAUAUAUGUAGGUGUGUGUAUUCAUAUGCGACAGAGUGCAAACGUGUUAGCCGCUGUAUACCUUGUCUUCUGGAUUUUCAUUGUAUUAAGUCCUUAUUAAGACCAUGCAGAUUAGCUAAUAAUGCGAGGAGUUGGUAAGAAAAGCGUUUAGCUUGUAAACAUAGUAUUAGAGAAGCAUUAAUGUACUCGUAUAGACAUAUGUAUAGAAUUACAUAUAUAUACACACAUAUAUACAAAAUAUGUACUAUACAUAUAUAUUUGCGUAUUCAUUUACA